UGCGCAGGCGGGGAUGUAAGUCAGUGGUGAAAUACUGCCGCUCAACGGUAGAACUGCCAUUGAUACUGCAUCUCUUGAGUAUGGUUGAGGUAGGCGGAAUGUGUUGUGUAGCGGUGAAAUGCAUAGAUAUGACACAGAACGCCGAUUGCGAAGGCAGCUUACUAAGCCAUUAUUGACGCUGAGGCACGAAAGCGUGGGGAGCGAACAGGAUUAGAUACCCUGGUAGUCC
rnacentral:rRNA from 1 species